rnacentral:misc_RNA from 1 species
CCGCGAGGCACGCCUAUCCUGUCUCCUCUAAUCGCUUGUGGGCCCCACCCACACCUCACACGCCGAAGUACCCUGGCUGCAAGUACUCGCACACACAUAUAUAUAUAGGGCGCACUGCCCACAUCUCUCGCACCCCAUCAAGAGCGAAUGGGGCAGUACACACGCGACGAGUGGUCGCUGUAGCGGCGCUGCUUCGCUGCAUACCCCCCCCCGAUGCCACGCGUCGCGCUCGGUGUACGCGUGUGCGGGCUCGGGUCUGGAUGGGCGGCCGCACGCUCACGGUCUGCAGACCCCGUGGCGAGGGGGUCUACCUCGACGAGCGCACCCGCGUCUCCGUGCAGAUCUCCCCCCGGGAGCACCCUGGGGGACUUGGCGCCUGAGCCAAGGAUGCCGGCUGCAGGAAGUGCAGGGCCUGUCGACGCAGAUGCAGGCAGCGAUGGCAGAGCCGGGCUGCGUCUUAUACGCAGCCACCACUCCCAGGCUACGGCAGAAUACGUGCGCCUCAGCACGCAGGCCAGCGAAACGCAGUGCCUCGCGGGCAGGGCGAAGGGAGGCAUUAGAAGCGAGUCCUCUCACUAUCACACCCUGAGUAGAACCACGAAACCAAAAGCCACAGCAAACCACCACAUAUCUGGGGGGUGCUCCCCCACCCCACCCCCGACCCGUGGGACAUGCAUGUGGACGUGUGUACACACCUGUGCCGGUCCUCUCUUGCACUGCUCCUCUCCUUCUCUGCCCGUUUUCCAUGGUGUGGCCGCCGACAGAACAUAUCUGCGCUCGCAACCCCCACCACCACCCCCACCCUCCGCGCGUUGCUCUCGCGCAAAGGCUUGCACGGGCAUACUCCCCACCACCAUGACCACCCUCUUGAGGGGCUUGAUCGGAGAGCCAGC